rnacentral:rRNA from 1 species
GGGUUGUGAGGUUAAGCGACUAAGCGUACACGGUGGAUGCCCUGGCAGUCAGAGGCGAUGAAGGACGUGCUAAUCUGCGAUAAGCGUCGGUAAGGUGAUAUGAACCGUUAUAACCGGCGAUUUCCGAAUGGGGAAACCCAGUGUGUUUCGACACACUAUCAUUAACUGAAUCCAUAGGUUAAUGAGGCGAACCGGGGGAACUGAAACAUCUAAGUACCCCGAGGAAAAGAAAUCAACCGAGAUUCCCCCAGUAGCGGCGAGCGAACGGGGAGGAGCCCAGAGCCUGAAUCAGUGUGUGUGUUAGUGGAAGCGUCUGGAAAGGCGCGCGAUACAGGGUGACAGCCCCGUACACAAAAAUGCACAUGCUGUGAGCUCGAUGAGUAGGGCGGGACACGUGGUAUCCUGUCUGAAUAUGGGGGGACCAUCCUCCAAGGCUAAAUACUCCUGACUGACCGAUAGUGAACCAGUACCGUGAGGGAAAGGCGAAAAGAACCCCGGCGAGGGGAGUGAAAAAGAACCUGAAACCGUGUACGUACAAGCAGUGGGAGCCUCUUUUAUGGGGUGACUGCGUACCUUUUGUAUAAUGGGUCAGCGACUUAUAUUCUGUAGCAAGGUUAACCGAAUAGGGGAGCCGAAGGGAAACCGAGUCUUAACUGGGCGUUAAGUUGCAGGGUAUAGACCCGAAACCCGGUGAUCUAGCCAUGGGCAGGUUGAAGGUUGGGUAACACUAACUGGAGGACCGAACCGACUAAUGUUGAAAAAUUAGCGGAUGACUUGUGGCUGGGGGUGAAAGGCCAAUCAAACCGGGAGAUAGCUGGUUCUCCCCGAAAGCUAUUUAGGUAGCGCCUCGUGAAUUCAUCUCCGGGGGUAGAGCACUGUUUCGGCAAGGGGGUCAUCCCGACUUACCAACCCGAUGCAAACUGCGAAUACCGGAGAAUGUUAUCACGGGAGACACACGGCGGGUGCUAACGUCCGUCGUGAAGAGGGAAACAACCCAGACCGCCAGCUAAGGUCCCAAAGUCAUGGUUAAGUGGGAAACGAUGUGGGAAGGCCCAGACAGCCAGGAUGUUGGCUUAGAAGCAGCCAUCAUUUAAAGAAAGCGUAAUAGCUCACUGGUCGAGUCGGCCUGCGCGGAAGAUGUAACGGGGCUAAACCAUGCACCGAAGCUGCGGCAGCGACACUAUGUGUUGUUGGGUAGGGGAGCGUUCUGUAAGCCUGUGAAGGUGUGCUGUGAGGCAUGCUGGAGGUAUCAGAAGUGCGAAUGCUGACAUAAGUAACGAUAAAGCGGGUGAAAAGCCCGCUCGCCGGAAGACCAAGGGUUCCUGUCCAACGUUAAUCGGGGCAGGGUGAGUCGACCCCUAAGGCGAGGCCGAAAGGCGUAGUCGAUGGGAAACAGGUUAAUAUUCCUGUACUUGGUGUUACUGCGAAGGGGGGACGGAGAAGGCUAUGUUGGCCGGGCGACGGUUGUCCCGGUUUAAGCGUGUAGGCUGGUUUUCCAGGCAAAUCCGGAAAAUCAAGGCUGAGGCGUGAUGACGAGGCACUACGGUGCUGAAGCAACAAAUGCCCUGCUUCCAGGAAAAGCCUCUAAGCAUCAGGUAACAUCAAAUCGUACCCCAAACCGACACAGGUGGUCAGGUAGAGAAUACCAAGGCGCUUGAGAGAACUCGGGUGAAGGAACUAGGCAAAAUGGUGCCGUAACUUCGGGAGAAGGCACGCUGAUAUGUAGGUGAAGUCCCUCGCGGAUGGAGCUGAAAUCAGUCGAAGAUACCAGCUGGCUGCAACUGUUUAUUAAAAACACAGCACUGUGCAAACACGAAAGUGGACGUAUACGGUGUGACGCCUGCCCGGUGCCGGAAGGUUAAUUGAUGGGGUCAGCGCAAGCGAAGCUCUUGAUCGAAGCCCCGGUAAACGGCGGCCGUAACUAUAACGGUCCUAAGGUAGCGAAAUUCCUUGUCGGGUAAGUUCCGACCUGCACGAAUGGCGUAAUGAUGGCCAGGCUGUCUCCACCCGAGACUCAGUGAAAUUGAACUCGCUGUGAAGAUGCAGUGUACCCGCGGCAAGACGGAAAGACCCCGUGAACCUUUACUAUAGCUUGACACUGAACAUUGAGCCUUGAUGUGUAGGAUAGGUGGGAGGCUUAGAAGUGUGGACGCCAGUCUGCAUGGAGCCGACCUUGAAAUACCACCCUUUAAUGUUUGAUGUUCUAACGUUGACCCGUAAUCCGGGUUGCGGACAGUGUCUGGUGGGUAGUUUGACUGGGGCGGUCUCCUCCUAAAGAGUAACGGAGGAGCACGAAGGUUGGCUAAUCCUGGUCGGACAUCAGGAGGUUAGUGCAAUGGCAUAAGCCAGCUUGACUGCGAGCGUGACGGCGCGAGCAGGUGCGAAAGCAGGUCAUAGUGAUCCGGUGGUUCUGAAUGGAAGGGCCAUCGCUCAACGGAUAAAAGGUACUCCGGGGAUAACAGGCUGAUACCGCCCAAGAGUUCAUAUCGACGGCGGUGUUUGGCACCUCGAUGUCGGCUCAUCACAUCCUGGGGCUGAAGUAGGUCCCAAGGGUAUGGCUGUUCGCCAUUUAAAGUGGUACGCGAGCUGGGUUUAGAACGUCGUGAGACAGUUCGGUCCCUAUCUGCCGUGGGCGCUGGAGAACUGAGGGGGGCUGCUCCUAGUACGAGAGGACCGGAGUGGACGCAUCACUGGUGUUCGGGUUGUCAUGCCAAUGGCACUGCCCGGUAGCUAAAUGCGGAAGAGAUAAGUGCUGAAAGCAUCUAAGCACGAAACUUGCCCCGAGAUGAGUUCUCCCUGACCCUUUAAGGGUCCUGAAGGAACGUUGAAGACGACGACGUUGAUAGGCCGGGUGUGUAAGCGCAGCGAUGCGUUGAGCUAACCGGUACUAAUGAACCGUGAGGCUUAACCUUACAACGCCGAAGGUGUUU